rnacentral:rRNA from 1 species
ACGGGAGGCAGCAGUGAGGGAUAUUGCACAAUGGGCGAAAGCCUGAUGCAGCAACGCCGCGUGAGGGAUGACGGUUUUCGGAUUGUAAACCUCUGUCUUUGGUGAUGAUAAUGACAUUAGCCAAGGAGGAAGCCACGGCUAACUACGUGCCAGCAGCCGCGGUAAUACGUAGGUGGCAAGCGUUGUCCGGAUUUACUGGGUGUAAAGGGAGCGCAGGCGGGAAAGCGAGUCAGCGGUGAAAUGCAUAGGCUUAACCUAUGAACUGCCGUUGAAACUGUUUUUCUUGAGUGAAGUAGAGGCAAGCGGAAUUCCGAGUGUAGCGGUGAAAUGCGUAGAUAUUCGGAGGAACACCAGUGGCGAAGGCGGCUUGCUGGGCUUUUACUGACGCUGAGGCUCGAAAGCGUGGGUAGCAAACAGGAUUAGAUACCCUGGUA